rnacentral:pre_miRNA from 1 species
GUUUUUGCGACGCGAUGACGUUUUUCGACACAAGUUACAUCAUCACGACGCGAAUUACGU